GUGGGUGCAGCUCAGUGGUAGAGCGCGUGCUCCUUGGUAGCAUGCGCGAAAUCCUGGGUUCAAUCCCCAGUACCACG
rnacentral:tRNA from 1 species